rnacentral:rRNA from 1 species
CAANGGCAGGGGAAUGGGCUCGGGGAGGGGCUAUCCUAGUCCNUCCGCUUUUCCAUCAACGUUAAAGGGGGCGGUGCCGGNAAUUGUUGGUAGCGUUUACGUAGCUGGGGCGCUAGAAGUGCUUAAUCANAUNUAGUAUUUUGGUUAANGUUGUUCUAGUUUUGUAACUAAAAUGGUUUGGCAGUGAGCGAUUCUUAUUAGGGGAAUAUGCAUAGUGAAGGAUGGUCCACCUAUUAGUUUACUCUUUUUAUGUUGGUGUAUGUCUGGUUUGAUAUUAUUGUUGAAUAAUUUAAGUUUGUGUAGUUUUAGUUAAGCUAAGUCUAUGUGCUGCUUA